rnacentral:rRNA from 1 species
GAUGAACGCUGGCGGGGGGCCUAAUACAUGCAAGUCGAGCGAACAGACGAGGAGCUUGCUCCUCUGACGGUAGCGGGGGACGGGUGAGUAACACGUGGAAAACCUACCUAUGAGACUGGGUUAACUUCGGGAAACCGAUGCUACAACCGGUUAAGAUAUUGAACCACAUGGAUCAAUAAUUAAAGACGGUUUUGCUGUGACUUAGAGAUGGAUAAGCGCAGGUUUAGCAAGUGGUUAAGGAAACGGCUUACCAAGGCCACGAUGCGUAGCCGACCUGAUAGGGUGAUGGGCCACCCUGGAACUGAUACACGGUCCCGACUCAUACGGGAGGCAGCAGUAGGGAAUCUUCAGCAAUGGCCGAAAGCCUGAGGGUGCACCGCCCAGCGCGUGAUGAAGGUCUCCGGAUUGUAGAACUUUGUCAUCAGGGAAGAACAAAUGUGUAAGUAACUAUGCACGUAUUGACGGUAACUAAUCAGAAAGCCACGGCUAACUACGUG